CGAUUUGCUACAUGAAUACCAAUAUAAGAUUUCAACAACCAAUUCUAGUUCCUGCACUCCUACUACAUCAACUUUAUCAGCAAUUACAAAGGACAUUGCUAGUUGUGAGGAAGAGGAAGGGGGUAUUGCAAGGUUAGUCCAAUUCCUUAGUUCCACAUCAUCUACAAUGCAUGUGAAGUCGGCGCUAAAUUACUAUUUAGAGGAGCCUAUUUUGCCAUGGA
rnacentral:lncRNA from 1 species